rnacentral:rRNA from 1 species
GUGGGGUAACGGCCUACCAAGGCAUCGACGGGUAGCUGGUCUGAGAGGACGAUCAGCCACACUGGGACUGAGACACGGCCCAGACUCCUACGGGAGGCAGCAGCAGGGAAUCUUGCGCAAUGGGCGAAAGCCUGACGCAGCAACGCCGCGUGGGGGAUGACGGCCUUCGGGUUGUAAACCCCUUUCAGGAGGGAAGAAAAUGACGGUACCUCCAGAAGAAGCCCCGGCCAACUACGUGCCAGCAGCCGCGGUAAUACGUAGGGGGCGAGCGUUGUCCGGAAUUAUUGGGCGUAAAGAGCUCGUAGGCGGCUCAGCAAGUCGGCUGUGAAAUCCCGAGGCUCAACCUCGGAACUGCAGUCGAUACUGCUGUGGCUAGAGUCUGGUAGAGGAGAAUGGAAUUCCCGGUGUAGCGGUGAAAUGCGCAGAUAUCGGGAGGAACACCAGUAGCGAAGGCGGUUCUCUGGGCCAGUACUGACGCUGAGGAGCGAAAGCGUGGGGAGCAAAUAGGAUUAGAUACCCUGGUAGUCCACGCCGUAAACGUUGGGUACUAGGUGUGGCGUCCCGAUCAACGGAUGCCGUGCCGAAGCUAACGCAUUAAGUA